rfam:Hordeum vulgare subsp. vulgare, WGS project CAJW01000000 data, contig: morex_contig_1583212
UUUUUACUCCCUCCGUCCCAAAAUUCUUAUGUUAGUUUCAUUUAAAAAUGGAUGUAUCUAAAUACUAAUACAUGACUAGAUACAUUCAUAUCUAGACAAAUUAAAGACAAGAAUUUUGGAACGGAGGAAGUAGUAA